GUCUUGCAGAUGGGGAAACUGAGGCAUGCAGAGGAUUAACCACUCAUCCCAGGUCACUCAAGUGUUCUUUCUAGAUGACUGAGGUCCAGUGCUGCACUCUUCAGGGUGGGAGCCAUGAGCAUCAUGUGGCCGCUGAGUGCUUAAAAUUGUCUAGAAUCGAAAUGUGCUCAAGAAUUUCUAAAUGAUGAUGAAUGGCUGCUAUUUCCUUGUAUUGUGAACAAAUGAUUAACCUCUUUGAGAUGAUAACUUGGGGGAAGGUUUAGAGAGAAUAUAAAGUUACUUUUAAACAUGAAGAGGAAAAAAAGUGAUGAGACUCUCUGGCGGCAAGAGUAAUAAUGCCAUGUGGAAAUCAUUGGUAAGAAGUGAUAAUCCCUUGCUGCUUUUUGUGCUAAAAGAUUUUUUAGAUCCUGGGCAGCCUGAAAAGGCACAAGGCUACAUGAAUAAAUUAGAAGUUAGCAUGAGAUAAAUGGGUUGACCUUUUGGGGUUUAUGUUUAUGGCAUUCUUGUCCUCAAUAAGGUAAUUACAUUUCUAUUUUGCUGUUAACUCUUGGGAUUAGAAAUAUUUAUUGGUCUUGGAAAAGGAACUGACUCAAUCCAACAAUGAUAUUGCAAUGGACAGGGUUUUCUAAACUGAAAAUUGGAUGAAAGAAUCAGCUGUGAUAUUUACUAUAUAGCUCCAUUUAUUUAACUGAUGUGUAGGAUUCAGUGAGACAGGGAAAUGCUAAGUUGCUCUGGACAAAUUUAUGAGGGAAAAGGGUCCUAUAAUCGAAGAAAGGAAAUUGUGUUUCUUAUAAUUAUCAUAUAUGUUAUACUAUUAAGUCUGUUUCACAUAUUUUACGGGUUAAAUUCAGUUUCUCUCAAGCCCUGAGAAUCCGAUUCAAACAUUAUCUCUUCUUUGAAGCUUCCUUUGACUUUCCUUCCUCCUCCUCUCCACGCUCCCCUCCAAGAAGACUGCCCUCGCCUUCAUCUCUGCUGACAUCUCUGCUAACCAUGCAUUCCUCUUCUCUUAGAGCACUUCUCAAAUCGCAUUGUAAUUAUUUGUGGACGUGUCUGUCUCCCUCACCAGACUGUGAGCUCUUCAAAAACAGAGACAGUGUUUUAUUUAAUUCCCUUGAUAUACCCACGGCCUGUCAGUGCCUAGCACACGAAAGGCAAAUAAUAAAUGUUGAAAGAGAAAAAGGGGGGAUUAAUGAACAAAUGUAAAUUAUUGUCAUCUCUGAUUCAUUUGGCACUGAGUGCAAAAAGAAACCCCCAUCUUAUUACUUCUUCAGUGUCAUAUAGUCUUUUCUUGAAAACUGAAGUGUGUUUAACAGUCUUCUCAGUUCGCCUUGUAUAAUUCCACGAUGGUGAUAACAGCACUGUAAUCAAAGC